GGACCCGGAAGUUGCCGCUCCUGGAGGGGCCGGCCCGCGGCUCCUGCGCCGGCGGCCGCAAGGGGGCGCUGUUGGCGCUGGCGGCGCUCGCGCGCGGCUGCGGCGCCGCCUUGCGGCAGCGGUACCUGGGGGCGGUGCUGGGGGCCCUGCGGGCCGGGCUGGGAGACCCCGAGGGCGCGGUCAGGGGGGCGGCGGCCGCGGCGCUGAGAGAGCUCCGGGAGGAACUGCAGCCCGAGGUGGCGCAGCUGGCGGCCGAGGCCCUGCCCAGGAUUUUGGGGGAAUUUUGGGAUUCCCAAAAUUCCCCAAAUUCCCCAAAUUCCGACCCCAAAUCCUGGUUCGUGCUGGAGACGCUGCUGGAGGCGCUGGGUGAGGAAAUUUGGGGCAAAAAU